rfam:Neospora caninum Liverpool complete genome, chromosome VIIa
AAACUUACCUGGCAGGCGCUCGGGGUGGCUCACGCAUCACCCUGUCGUAGUUCGGAGCAGGGCACUGCACUCUGCUGCUGUGAUGAGCUAUGGGCUCCCAAUCGGGGGUGCCAACUGCAGAAUUUCUGGUAGCGGCAGGUUGCGUUCGCGCGCUCUUGCCAU